rnacentral:rRNA from 1 species
GUCGAACGGCAGCGCGGGAGCAAUCCUGGCGGCGAGUGGCGAACGGGUGAGUAAUACAUCGGAACGUGCCCAAUCGUGGGGGAUAACGCAGCGAAAGCUGUGCUAAUACCGCAUACGAUCUACGGAUGAAAGCAGGGGAUCGCAAGACCUUGCGCGAAUGGAGCGGCCGAUGGCAGAUUAGGUAGUUGGUGAGGUAAAGGCUCACCAAGCCUUCGAUCUGUAGCUGGUCUGAGAGGACGACCAGCCACACUGGGACUGAGACACGGCCCAGACUCCUACGGGAGGCAGCAGUGGGGAAUUUUGGACAAUGGGCGAAAGCCUGAUCCAGCCAUGCCGCGUGCAGGAUGAAGGCCUUCGGGUUGUAAACUGCUUUUGUACGGAACGAAACGGUCUUUUCUAAUACAGAAGGCUAAUGACGGUACCGUAAGAAUAAGCACCGGCUAACUACGUGCCAGCAGCCGCGGUAAUACGUAGGGUGCAAGCGUUAAUCGGAAUUACUGGGCGUAAAGCGUGCGCAGGCGGUUAUGUAAGACAGUUGUGAAAUCCCCGGGCUCAACCUGGGAACUGCAUCUGUGACUGCAUAGCUAGAGUACGGUAGA